GUAAAAGUCGUAACAAGGUUUCCGUAGGUGAACCUGCGGAAGGAUCAUUAUUGAAUAAACUUGAACAGGCUGUUGCUGGUCACCCUAGGGGGGCAUGUGCACGCUUGUCAUCUUUAUUUCUCCAACUGUGCACACACUGUAGACCUGGAGGGUUUUUGAUUCAUUCGAGUUGGCACUGCAGUGCUUAAAUUAACAAAGUCUGCUUUGCCUUUGCCUUUUCAGGUCUAUGUCCUUUUACAAUCUCAAAUAUGUUUAGAAUGAUAAUAAAGUUUAAAUAUAACAACUUUCAGCAACGGAUCUCUUGGCUCUCGCAUCGAUGAAGAACGCAGCGAAAUGCGAUAAGUAAUGUGAAUUGCAGAAUUCAGUGAAUCAUCGAAUCUUUGAACGCAUCUUGCGCUCCUUGGUAUUCUGAGGAGCAUGCCUGUUUGAGUGUCAUUUCAAGUUCUCAACCGCAUCAAUUUCUUCUGAUUGGUGUGGCUUGGAUGUUGGGGGUUUUAUUUUGCAGGCUUCUUCUUUCUAGGAGGAAAUCGGCUCCCCUGAAAUAGAUUAGUAGUAUAUCUGAGCCUACUACAAAGGUGUGAUAAAUUAUCUAUGCCUUUUCAUAGUAUGGACAACUGCUUCUAACAAGUGGAAACACCUUUUAUGACAAAUUUGACCUCAAAUCAGGUAGGACUACCCGCUGAACUUAAGCAUAUCAAUAAGCGGAGGAAAAGAAACUAACAAGGAUUCCCCUAGUAACUGCGAGUGAAGCGGGAAAAGCUCAAAUUUGAAAUCUGGCAGCUUUUUGGCUGUCCGAGUUGUAAUCUAGAGAAGUGUUACCUGUGCUGAACCGUGUAC
rnacentral:rRNA from 1 species